CGGCCAGUAGCAGAGAUGCGUCCAUGGAUUCCCCCUUGGCUGAUGGGUUUACCAGUAACACAGGCGUGUGCAUUAAUAUCAUAGUGCCCUAUGGUGCUGGCAUAGGUAUCAGCGAUCCAGGACAUCUCCCGCUCACCUGUGCUCAUGUCUGGAGCAGGCACAUCAAUGCCAGGACCAAUAAAGCCCUUUUUUGCUAGCUCCAUGGUGAACCUCCUUGUGAUCUUU
rnacentral:lncRNA from 1 species